rnacentral:rRNA from 1 species
GACGGGGGAUGCAAGUGUUAUCCGGAAUCACUGGGCGUAAAGCGUCUGCAGGUGGUUUCCUAAGUCCACUGUUAAACCUUGAGGCUCAACCUCAAGUCUGCAUUGGAAACUAGGAGACUUGAGUAUAGUAGGGGUAGAGGGAAUUUCCAGUGGAGCGGUGAAAUGCGUAGAUAUUGGAAAGAACACCGAUGGCGAAGGCACUCUACUGGGCUAUUACUGACACUCAGAGACGAAAGCUAGGGGAGCAAAUGGG